rnacentral:rRNA from 1 species
GACGAACGCUGGCGGCGUGCUUAACACAUGCAAGUCGAACGGAAAGGCCCUGCUUUUGUGGGGUGCUCGAGUGGCGAACGGGUGAGUAACACGUGAGUAACCUGCCCUUGACUUUGGGAUAACUUCAGGAAACUGGGGCUAAUACCGGAUAUGAGCUCCUGCUGCAUGGUGGGGUUUGGAAAGUUUCGGCGGUUGUGGAUGGACUCGCGGCUUAUCAGCUUGUUGGUCGGGUAGUUGCUUACCAAGGCUUUGACGGGUAGCCGGCCUGAGAGGGUGACCGGCGACAUUGGGACUGAGAUACGGACCAGAAUCCUACGGGAGGCAGCAGUGGGGAAUAUUGCAGAAUGGGCGGAAGCCUGAUGUAGCAACGUCGCGUGCGGGAUGAUGGCCUUCGGGUUGUAAACCGAUUUGGCAUGUGACGAAGAGUGAGUGACGGUAAUGGGUAAAGAAGCACCGGCUAACUACGUG